GAUCAUGGCUCAGGAUGAACGCUGGCGGCGUGCUUAACACAUGCAAGUCGAGCGAAGCACUUAGGAAAGAUUCUUCGGAUGAUUUCCUAUUUGACUGAGCGGGCGGCGGGUGAGGUAACGCGUGGGUAACCUGCCUCAUACAGGGGGGAUAACAGUUAGAAAUGACUGCUAAUACCGCAUAAGACCACAGCACCGCAUGGUGCAGGGGUAAAAACUCCGGUGGUAUGAGAUGGACCCG
rnacentral:rRNA from 1 species